UUCGUGGUGUCUGUGGCAGCCCAGCCGAUGAAUCCUGUGGCCUCAGCCACAACAUCAGCCAACCAGGCUGCCUAAACUUUUUCUGUAGACAACAGAGAGUGAGACCAUGAACAAGGCAAUCAAAACCACCUGAGUUAAGAGAGUCCUGAUGAGCCAGUGAAGGAACUUCUCCCUCUCUGCUGGAUAUGGAAAAGGCACAAUCAGUGGGUCUCUUGACCUGGCAAGAAAUUGAAGUCAGGAGACUACACAAAUGUUUGUGCUGGGAGGACAGGAUUGGAGGUGGAGUAGGAAUGGCUUCAGCUGGCAAAAGCACCACUGCUGCCAAAGCCUCAGUCCCAGGAAAGUGCUGUGAAAGCAAAGGCAAAGCUGAUCAAGUGACCAGAUAUGGUGUUGGCAGUGCAUCUCCUUGGAGCAGGGUGUUGGACUAGGUGUGUUGCCUCAUGUGCAAAAUGCAGAGGGAGCAAAAGAGAAGGCAGCCCCACUCUAGCUGCAGGUGGAGGAGGCAACAUGAUUGCCUUCUGUGCAGCUUUAUUCACCAGCAAGCUUGCAUUUAACUGCAAUUUUCGAGUGUCUCACAAAAGAUUAUCACAUGGGUCCUGAGAAAUAUCAGCAGUGAUACUGCCACUUUAUUGUGAAGAAAACAAGACAAAAAAGAAGUGAAACUGAGGGAACUGGUGUCAAGGCUUUCUGUCUCUAGUUUUAAGGGCUAUGGAAUAUGUAAUGAGGCAGCAUUCUGUUUCACCAGUCCUUAAAUCCUGAGAAAGAGAAACAGGCUGUUUGCCUUUGAAGUGAUAACAGUUGAUUCCAAAGGAUCCUUGGGCUUGUCAUUGAUAGGAGAAUGAUCUUCUUCAAAUGGAAGAACACUGUUUUGGACCUUAAGGACUUGGGAACCAAUGCUGGCAAGAGUUAGAUAUUGCUGUGCAAAGAACUUUUCCCUGGGCAUUCAGAAGGAAUUUUCAAUAGCUCUGUAUGUUUACUCCCCAAAGCAGGAAUUUCUGUCUGCUUUCUGUGGACAAAUGCUGGUGAAAGCAAAUGCCAAACCAUGGCAGCACAUUAAGGCCAGAAAAACUGCUCAAAAAACCAGAUUGUUCCUCUUCCCUUUUCUCAGUCAGUCAUCCCUAUUCUUAUGGAAACCUUCUUACAACUGCAGCAUAAGCAUUUGUAUGACUUUGUGGGGAACUAUAUUGCAAAAAUUGCACAUUUUUUCCCAGGGGCUGUUUUUCAUCUGGAUCAGUUCCUUGAUCUGGUUAACCAUGCAGCCACACAAAUAUUUGUGAUGGCACAGUACAACAGAUGAUCUGGGAGAAAUUGUGGGAGUGGGAGAAAGUGUGGAAUGCUUUAUUGGUAAUCAUGUUCACUUAAAAGAAUACCAAACUGUAGCCUAAAGAAGAAAGGAAUAGCAGUGGGAUGACACAUCUGAGAAGGGAGUUGAAGCAUGUGCAUUAUUCUUCAGAAAUGAAAACACAGCUUCAAAUAUCAAAUGGUGUCAUUACAGGGGGUGAAUAUCAGCUGACACAGCCAUUUCCAAAAGUUGCAGUCUGCAGGCAGGGAGACUGUUCAGUAUUUUGGUCUGUCUGAAACUUCACUUUGAGGGAGCUAGGAAGUAGAAGAUGCAGAUGGUGGAUCCAAAGGGCUGAAAAAGCAGUGCUGUGCAUGUAGAUGACCCUGUGCCUCCAUGUGAUCCAGAAGAUGUGAAGUGAGAGGACCCAAGAUAUAACUGAGACACAUCCAAGCUAAUUUUGAACAUGUUAACUCGGUUGCAUACGGCAAUCUAGUUAAGGAAGGAAGGAGUUAAUAAAGAAUGUUCUGUCAACAAAUCAAGAGGCUCUCAGGAUCAAAGAUGUCAGCUACACUGUGAUCUUCAUUAGAAGGGAAAGACAACAGGGAGAGGGCUGGCUCAUGCACUGAAAAGAUCUUCUAAAACUCUUUGUCUCUUCAGACCAUAAUAAUGGAACAAUGACUCUCACUGGGUAAUGGAUGCAGGAAAGUUGCUGAAUCACAUCACUGUGCAGAGUAUAUUCCUCAAAUGGCCUUUCUCUAAUGAUGGGGGAAAAAAAAGCAAAAAAGAAAGCAGCAACAAACCUGUCAAAUUAUGAACCAUAUUAUGAGGAAAAGUGUUGGAAGAUGAAAUUCUGCUCAACUUCCAGGCAAGCAAAUCUCCAUCCUGCAAUGUGCAGAGAAGCUGCUGAAAUGCUGGGACAGAGACCGAGGGAAACACUAAGAAAUUCCUGACUCCCUGUAGGGUACAAAGUGUGAACACAGAGAAGAGGGAGGAGGAAGAUGGCAGGUGUGAACCUGCAGCUCUCUUGCCCAUGCCCUGAGAGCAGCUCUGGUGCUGCUCCCUCUGUUUGCAGGGCAACUGUUCUAGCCCUUGCAUAGGGCUCUACUUCUGCAGAUAUUUUCCUCCUCUACCUUUCUAUUCCUUUCUCUCAGGGUCAUCACUUAAGGUUUUUGCUGAGGAAAAGAAGGCAGCCUGCUCCCUCUAUAGGCUUCUCUGGUUGUUGCUUUCACGAACCAGCCAUCCAGGGGAUCAGAGCUGCAUGCUUUUGAAGACUGUCAAAAACGCUGAAGACUUUGCCUCCUCAGUUGCACCAGCACUGCAAUUUGUGGCAUCGUUCUGGAAGAAGACUGUAAGACAACCCAGCAUUACUUUUCAGAUGCCAUCACACUAUUGCACCACCAGGGUGUUGCAAAGAAUGCCCAAACCUCUCAAGGCUUGGGAGUGAUAUAUUUGUUACUGUAUGCAUGAUCUCAUCUUCAAAGGAAGAUUAGCAUUAACAAACUUUAGAUGGUGGAAAGGGAGGAGUUGGUUUAAA